rnacentral:rRNA from 1 species
GAGUUUGAUCCUGGCUCAGGACGAACGCUGGCGGCGUGCCUAACACAUGCAAGUCGAGCGAUGCGAUUCUUCGGGAUCAAUUAGCGGCGGACGGGUGAGUAACACGUGGGUAACCUGCCUCAAAGAGGGGAAUAGCCUCCCGAAAGGGAGAUUAAUACCGCAUAAUAUGUUUUGAUCACAUGAUCUUUACAUCAAAGGAUUUUCUUCGGAGAUUCCACUUUGAGAUGGACCCGCGGCGCAUUAGCUAGUUGGUGAGGUAACGGCCCACCAAGGCAACGAUGCGUAGCCGACCUGAGAGGGUGAUCGGCCACAUUGGAACUGAGACAC